rnacentral:rRNA from 1 species
AUACGGAGGAUCCAAGCGUUAUCCGGAAUCAUUGGGUUUAAAGGGUCCGUAGGCGGUCUUGUAAGUCAGUGGUGAAAGCCCAUCGCUCAACGGUGGAACGGCCAUUGAUACUGCAGGACUUGAAUUAUUGGGAAGUAACUAGAAUAUGUAGUGUAGCGGUGAAAUGCUUAGAGAUUACAUGGAAUACCAAUUGCGAAGGCAGGUUACUACCAAUUUAUUGACGCUGAUGGACGAAAGCGUGGGUAGCGAACAGGAUUAGAUACCCUGGUAGUCCACGCCGUAAACGAUGGAUACUAGCUGUUGGGAGCAAUCUCAGUGGCUAAGCGAAAGUGAUAAGUAUCCCACCUGGGGAGUACGAACGCAAGUUUGAA